UUACUUAGCUGAACGGGGUCCAUAAGAGAUCAAGAAGUCUCAUGGCCUAGAUCAAUGGCCUACAUUGCACGUUGUAGGAGCACUGGUUUACCAUCUGCCUACGGGUAGAGUGGACGUUAAAAUUUAUUGUAGAGGGGUUAUGUGUUUAGCGCGGCCCCUAC
rnacentral:snRNA from 1 species